AACGAACGUUAGCGGCGCGCCUAACACAUGCAAGUCGAACGCGACUGGGGGCAACUCCAGUUGAGUGGCGCACGGGUGAGUAACACGUAGGUAAUCUCCCCUCGAGUGGUGGAUAACCUUCCGAAAGGAGGGCUAAUACAGCAUAAGACCACGGCCUCGAAAGAGGCUGAGAUCAAAGCGGAGGAUCGCAAGACUUCGCGCUUGAGGAUGAGCCUGCGGCCCAUCAGGUAGUUGGCGGAGUAACAGCCCACCAAGCCUAAGACGGGUAGCUGGUCUGAGAGGAGGAUCAGCCACACUGGAACUGAGACACGGUCCAGACUCCUACGGGAGGCAGCAGUGGGGAAUCUUGCGCAAUGGACGAAAGUCUGACGCAGCGACGCCGCGUGGGUGAUGAGGGCCUUCGGGUUGUAAAGCCCUGUGGGGAGGGACGAAUAAGUUGCAGCUAAUACCUGCAGCGAUGACGGUACCUCCUUAGCAAGCACCGGCUAACUCUGUGCCAGCCGCCGCCGUAA
rnacentral:rRNA from 1 species